AGUGAACGCUGGCGGCAGGCCUAAUACAUGCAAGUCGAACGGCAGCACAGCAGAGCUUGCUCUGUGGGUGGCGAGUGGCGGACGGGUGAGGAAUACAUGGGAAUCUGCCUAGUCGUGGGGGUUAACGUAGGGAAACUUACGCUAAUACCGCAUGCGCCCUUCGGGAGAAAGCCGGGGACCUUCGGGCCUGGCGCGAUUGGAUGAGCCCAUGUCGGAUUAGCUAGUUGGCGGGGUAAUGGCCCACCAAGGCGACGAUCCGUAGCUGGUCUGAGAGGAUGAUCAGCCACACUGGAACUGAGACACGGUCCAGACUCCUACGGGAGGCAGCAGUAGGGAAUAUUGGACAAUGGGCGCUAAGCCUGAUCCAGCCAUGCCGCGUGAGUGAAGAAGGCCCUCGGGUUGUAAAGCUCUUUUGUCCGGAAGAAAGCGCCGGGUUAAUACCCUAGUGUCCUGACGGUACCGGAAGAAUAAGCACCGGCUAACUUCGUGCCAGCA
rnacentral:rRNA from 1 species